GUACUGUUUAUUUCUUCUUUGUAAAGUAAAGAGAAAUCAUGUUAACCAGGUCAAUGUGAUCCUGCAAUUUUUUUUUUUUUAGUUAACUUGGAUGAUUUUUAUCUUGCUUUAAUAGAAGAAACCCGGCCACUUCAGAGUCUGCAAAUGGAGCUCCUUGUCACUGAGCUCCAGAGAUGUAAACAGAAGUAGCAAACAGGUUCCUCUUUUAGUGUAAACAAAUAAGUGAUUUUUUAAAAAAAACUUCUGAAGGGAUUACUUGUCCAUAAUGUGAAUUUUACAUUUUUAUUCACAUAUUCAUCCAUAAGAAACACUAGGUGAAUGCAAAAAAACUGGGCCAAAUAGGCCUGGCGCAUACACACACCUCAAACAUCUCUAGCUUCCUCAGCAGAUGGUGUCUGAUUAUGAGCCACCAUGAACUGAUUUUACUCCACGUUUAUAAUACUUCUGAUGGCCACUCCCACAAGAAAACUUCAGGGUUUCUUUCAAGGGAUGCACGUGACAUUUGGUACCGAAGACCUGGGGCAGGGGGACUCCUUCGGGAGCCCAGUCCCCUGUCCUUGCCCUCAGUCUGUGAGGAGAUCCACGUAUGACCUCAGGUCCUCAGACCAGCCCAAGGAACAUCUCACCAAUUUCAAAUCAGGUAACCAGUCUCUUCACUGUCUUCUCCAGUCUCUCUCACUACCCUUCAAUCUCCCUGUCUUUUCAAUUCCAGUUCUUUUUCCUUUCUAGUAGAGACAAAGGAGACACAUUUUAUCCAUGAACUCGAAAACUCUGACCUCAGUCACGGAUUUUGGAAGACAGUCUUCCCUUGGUGUCUGAUCAUAGCGGGGACGCCUGCCCUGAUCAUUUGCCCACAUUCUGUUGGUGUCUGAUCACCGCAGGGACACAUGCCUUGAUCAUUCACCCACAUUCCUUUGGUGGCAAUCCAGUUAUGGGGACACCUGCUUUGGCUGCUCACCCACAUUACAGCCCACAUUACAGCGCUGCUCACCGCCCCCCUGCCCCUUCUCCGUGUCUCUACCUUUCCCUUUAAACUUACUUCCUUCACUAUGGGCAACCUUCCAUCCUCCAUUCCCCCUUCUUCUCCUUUAGCCUGUGUUCUUAAAAACCUAAAACCCCUUCGACUAACACCUGACCUAAAACCUAAACGUCUUAUUUUCCUCUGUAAGACCACUUGGCCCCAAUACAAACUUGACAAUAGUUCUAAGUGACCAGAGAAUAGCACUUUCGAUUUCUCCAUCCUACAAGAUCUGGAUAAUUUUUGUCAUAAAAUGGGCAAAUGGUCUGAGGUGCCU
rnacentral:lncRNA from 1 species